AACUAACGCUGGCGGCGUGCCUAACACAUGCAAGUCGUACGAGAAAGCCGGCUUCGGCUGGUGAGUAAAGUGGCGCACGGGUGAGUAACGCGUGGAUAAUCUGCCCUUAAGUGUGGAAUAACGUACCGAAAGGUGCGCUAAUACCGCAUAAUGCCUGGCAACACAAGUUGUCCGGCCAAAGAAGGCCUCUGUUUACAAGCUUUCGCUUCAGGAUGAGUCCGCGUACCAUUAGCUUGUUGGUGGGGUAAUGGCCUACCAAGGCUGCGAUGGUUAGCUGGUCUGAGAGGAUGAUCAGCCACACUGGAACUGAGACACGGUCCAGACUCCUACGGGAGGCAGCAGUGAGGAAUAUUGCGCAAUGGGGGCAACCCUGACGCAGCAACGCCGCGUGAGUGAGGAAGGCCUUCGGGUCGUAAAGCUCUGUCCUUGGGAAGAAGGCGAAAGCUUGACGGUACCCAAGAAGAAAGACCCCGGCUAACUACGUGCCAGCAGCCGC
rnacentral:rRNA from 1 species